rnacentral:rRNA from 1 species
GUGAACGCUGGCGGUAGGCCUAACACAUGCAAGUCGAACGGCAGCACAGUAAGAGCUUGCUCUUACGGGUGGCGAGUGGCGGACGGGUGAGGAAUACAUCGGAAUCUACUUUUUCGUGGGGGAUAACGUAGGGAAACUUACGCUAAUACCGCAUACGACCUACGGGUGAAAGCAGGGGAUCUUCGGACCUUGCGCGAUUGAAUGAGCCGAUGUCGGAUUAGCUAGUUGGCGGGGUAAGGCCCACCAAGGCGACGAUCCGUAGCUGGUCUGAGAGGAUGAUCAGCCACACUGGAACUGAGACACGGUCCAGACUCCUACGGGAGGCAGCAGUGGGGAAUAUUGGACAAUGGGCGCAAGCCUGAUCCAGCCAUACCGCGUGGGUGAAGAAGGCCUUCGGGUUGUAAAGCCCUUUUGUUGGGAAAGAAAAGCAGCAGGUUAAUACCCCGCUGUUCUGACGGUACCCAAAGAAUAAGCACCGGCUAACUUCGUG